GGAAUCAAUGGCAAGGGUGUUCACUGGGAGAAAGCUGGGGCGAAAUGACAUGUUGUCAGACAGGCAGCUCAGCAGCACCGAGGUCGCUGACAAGUGAAGAAAGAUGAUGGGCCAGAAGAACCGAGCCAUCAACAAGUAGGCGCUGCUUUUUGCGGGUACUAUCCUCCAAGAGCAGCAUGCUUCACUCUCAGUAAACAAUGUUACGGACAGAUACUACAGCCACAUGCCCCAGUGCCACUUCAACUGAGCUAACUUCAUCCGAGAAGCAGAAACGAGGCUGUACAAACUAGACUUCAAGAAAAUUCUCAGGAGGGAACAUGCACGGAUACUUAGAAAACAACGUUUGUGGCACCUUUGUUACGGCUGAAAUAAGCAGUAACUCAGUCCGACUGUCAGACUUUCAUAAACUGCUCCAGAUGCGGUCAAUGUUGGAGCCCUGAGAGUAUAAAGUCACCUUUUACGUUCCUGCUCUGUACUAACAGCUGACCCAUCUACUGAGCCAGGACAGAGGCUGCUGCCUUAGCUCAGGACAUCUUCCAACUCUUGUUCGGCCGGUCUAAAUACUAAAGAAAAAAGUGUUCCCUCUAUAUUUGAGGAGCUGCUGGCUAACGGAAAGGAAUGAACAUUACGCGGGAGCAAUUUCGUGGGAGACGCUUCACACACAAAAAGAAAGCAAAGGCAGACGAGACGUGUUGGCCCCGAUUGAUUUUACGAUUAAAGCGAACGCCAUCCCCGGGUCCAGCCGGGCUAAGGGAACAUGCUGCCGCUCGUUACUUACUAACCCAGUUAAGAAUUUCAAAUGGCAGCAGCUCUAACUGCCUGCUCCAGGACCCAGCCCAACAGCUAUCUCUCCCAUGCCAAGCCUGAAGAUCACUCUGCACCAGCUCUCAGCUGCACCAAGAAGUUACCAGAUGAUGAACCAAGCUAUGAGAAAAUCUCCAAAAAGCCACAUACUUGGAACUCCAGGACCCAGGGAAGUGUGCCUUGCUGAGGUUAAGAAAACCAGUGAAACUUGGUAGUGAAAGCUAUUGCCAAGGAGGGUUCCUGAUCCACCCGGGUUGAAUAAAGAACAGCAUACUGUUGAAGUGUUUGGGUACAUAAUGGCAUACAUGCUGAAAGGGAAUGCUUGUAGUUAAUAUAUCGCCAACUUGAAGUGAAAUUUACGUUUAUAUUUUAAAUUACAUUUGCCUGUUGACUCCUUCCUAAUUUGUGUUGAUUCUGCUUGGAGAUAAGUCAAAGUUGAGAAAUGUGAAACUUGCUGAUAAUUUCAUCAUCUGUGGAUCAUUUGGUAAAUUUAGUUGUUUUGGUUUACUGUUUCCCCACAUGGAUCAAAAACAGGUGCAUGUACAAGUUAUCUAAGACACACAUUGUGUCAUUAUGAACCACACACUUAAAAUGAUUAAUCCUAAUCUUUUAA